UACAAUGACUCUUCGUCUUAUUUGAAAUUUUUUGUGAUUAAUAUUUUUAUUCUUACUAGAUGAUAAAAAGAUGAAUAAUACUUUAUGCAUGACUAUUUUUUUAAGUUUUUUAUAAAAUUUUCAAAUAAGAUGAAUAGUCAAACGUUGGACAUGAAAAAAC
rnacentral:pre_miRNA from 1 species